AAGCGCAUGGCGGUGCUAUAAUGCAGUCGAGCGGACAGAUGGGAGCUUGCUCCCUGAUGUUAGCGGCGGACGGGUGAGUAACACGUGGGUAACCUGCCUGUAAGACUGGGAUAACUCCGGGAAACCGGGGCUAAUACCGGAUGGUUGUCUGAACCGCAUGGUUCAGACAUAAAAGGUGGCUUCGGCUACCACUUACAGAUGGACCCGCGGCGCAUUAGCUAGUUGGUGAGGUAACGGCUCACCAAGGCGACGAUGCGUAGCCGACCUGAGAGGGUGAUCGGCCACACUGGGACUGAGACACGGCCCAGACUCCUACGGGAGGCAGCAGUAGGGAAUCUUCCGCAAUGGACGAAAGUCUGACGGAGCAACGCCGCGUGAGUGAUGAAGGUUUUCGGAUCGUAAAGCUCUGUUGUUAGGGAAGAACAAGUGCCGUUCAAAUAGGGCGGCACCUUGACGGUACCUAACCAGAAAGCCACGGCUAACUACGUGCCAGCAGCCGCGGUAAUACGUAGGUGGCAAGCGUUGUCCGGAAUUAUUGGGCGUAAAGGGCUCGCAGGCGGUUUCUUAAGUCUGAUGUGAAAGCCCCCGGCUCAACCGGGGAGGGUCAUUGGAAACUGGGGAACUUGAGUGCAGAAGAGGAGAGUGGAAUUCCACGUGUAGCGGUGAAAUGCGUAGAGAUGUGGAGGAACACCAGUGGCGAAGGCGACUCUCUGGUCUGUAACUGACGCUGAGGAGCGAAAGCGUGGGGAGCGAACAGGAUUAGAUACCCUGGUAGUCCACGCCGUAAACGAUGAGUGCUA
rnacentral:rRNA from 1 species